rnacentral:rRNA from 1 species
GUAGCUUGCUACCUGACCUAGCGGCGGACGGGUGAGUAAUGCUUAGGAAUCUGCCUAUUAGUGGGGGACAACAUUCCGAAAGGAAUGCUAAUACCGCAUACGCCCUACGGGGGAAAGCAGGGGAUCUUCGGACCUUGCGCUAAUAGAUGAGCCUAAGUCAGAUUAGCUAGUUGGUGGGGUAAAGGCCUACCAAGGCGACGAUCUGUAGCGGGUCUGAGAGGAUGAUCCGCCACACUGGGACUGAGACACGGCCCAGACUCCUACGGGAGGCAGCAGUGGGGAAUAUUGGACAAUGGGCGAAAGCCUGAUCCAGCCAUGCCGCGUGUGUGAAGAAGGCCUUUUGGUUGUAAAGCACUUUAAGCGAGGAGGAGGCUACUUAGAUUAAUACUCUAGGAUAGUGGACGUUACUCGCAGAAUAAGCACCGGCUAACUCUGUGCCAGCAGCCGCGGUAAUACAGAGGGUGCGAGCGUUAAUCGGAUUUACUGGGCGUAAAGCGUGCGUAGGCGGCUUUUUAAGUCGGAUGUGAAAUCCCUGAGCUUAACUUAGGAAUUGCAUUCGAUACUGGGAAGCUAGAGUAUGGGAGAGGAUGGUAGAAUUCCAGGUGUAGCGGUGAAAUGCGUAGAGAUCUGGAGGAAUACCGAUGGCGAAGGCAGCCAUCUGGCCUAAUACUGACGCUGA